rnacentral:rRNA from 1 species
GAUGAACGCUGGCGGCGUGCCUAAUACAUGCAAGUCGAGCGAACGGACGAGAAGCUUGCUUCUCUGAUGUUAGCGGCGGACGGGUGAGUAACACGUGGAUAACCUACCUAUAAGACUGGGAUAACUUCGGGAAACCGGAGCUAAUACCGGAUAAUAUUUUGAACCGCAUGGUUCAAAAGUGAAAGACGGUCUUGCUGUCACUUAUAGAUGGAUCCGCGCGGCAUUAGCUAGUUGGUAAGGUAACGGCUUACCAAGGCAACGAUGCAUAGCCGACCUGAGAGGGUGAUCAGCCACACUGGAACUGAGACACGGUCCAGACUCCUACGGGAGGCAGCAGUAGGGAAUCUUCCGCAAUGGGCGAAAGCCUGACGGAGCAACGCCGCGUGAGUGAUGAAGGUCUUCGGAUCGUAAAACUCUGUUAUUAGGGAAGAACAUAUGUGUAAGUAACUGUGCACAUCUUGACGGUACCUAAUCAGAAAGCCACGGCUAACUACGUG